rnacentral:rRNA from 1 species
GUCCACGCUGUAAACGAUGAGAACUAGAUGUUAGGGGGCUUGACCUUUUAGUAUCGUAGCAAACGCGCUAAGUUCUCCGCCUGGGGAGUACGGCCGCAAGGUUAAAACUCAAAGAAAUUGACGGGGGCCCGCACAAGCGGUGGAGCAUGUGGUUUAAUUCGAUGCAACGCGAAGAACCUUACCUACCUUUGAAUCCACGGAAUUUUGCAGAGAUGCGAAAGUGCCUUCGGGAACCGUGAGACAGGUGCUGCAUGGCUGUCGU